rnacentral:tRNA from 1 species
CGCUCCUGUAGCUCAAUCGGAUAGAGCAAUCCCGCAGUACUGCGAGGAUAGGUGAAUGGUUCGAGUCCAUUCUAGAGUAA